GAUGUUCUCUAAACAAGCAAAAUUCACAAGUAUAUAAAUGUAGAUUGUAGCUUAUCACAUAACAAAACAUGUUUAAGUAAAAUUUGGAAUGUUAUACAAUUAAAUUAUGGAGUUACAAUCUACUAAACUUUAAUGGGAAAUGUACCUGGUUCACGAGGACACGGCCAUCACUAUGGAGGCCAAUAUGGACAGGGAGGGAACACGCCUUACGGGCCCUACGCCCAAGGACCUGGACAUGAUGUCCCCCCAACAGCCAACGUGACCCCCCCAACAGCCAACGUGACCCCUCCACCCGUAGGAGGAGGACAGGCCCCAGGCUAUCAAACUGGACAUGGCUAUGGCGGUCAGGGCUAUCCCAGUCAAGGUUAUCCAGGUCAGGGCUAUCCUCCUCAAGGCCAUCCUGGUCAAGGAUAUCCUGGACAGGGCUACCCCGGACAAGGACCACCUGGCGGCGGUAUUAUGCAAGGCAUGAGUCAUAUGGCGUGCUGCGCUGCGUUGAUGGGCUGCAUGACGUUUCUUAUGACGUCCUGCUGCAAGUGUCAGGGUGUUGGAAUUGGUGAUGGUGAAGUGGGUGGUGGAAUCGGGAAUGACGGACAUGGGGGCCCGAUCCCAGGUCAAACUCAAGUGGUGCCUCCUGGUGAAGUGGGUGGCGGUGGUACUGGAGGGGGUGGAAUCGGGAAUGACAUCCUUGGGGGCCUAAUUCCAGGUCAAACUCAAGUGACACCUCCUCAACUAGGACCUGCAUCAGAAGAUAUAGACCACGAUUCACAUUAAGUUGACUGUUCACAAACAUUUAUUCACGCAAAAAAAUUACAGACGCUGUAUGAUUUAAGCCUUUGUCUCCCAAGUAUUAAGAUUAUUCAGCGCUUAAAAUGUAUGUGCUAUGUAUCUAUAUACUAUGGUAACUUUGAAUAAAGUAGUGAAAAUCAAUUAUAAAAUUAUUACAUGUAAACUUUUUGCUGUUUAAACAUCGUAACUGCGUAGGACGGAUCCCCGUGUUUACAAUAUUUAAACAGCAAAAAGUUAUAGUCCAUAUACUUUGCGCCAAACAAAAUACACUGAAGUUAGCCGCAGUUAAAAUAUUAUACAACUCGAUGGGUCAAAGUAUGUACAAUUCCGCUACGCUUGAAUAUAUAGAAGGCAGGUUAAAGAUUCAGUAAAUUAUAUAGUUUGGCCUGCGAGAGUUGGCGGGAUAAUGGCGGCAAAAUUUAAAUAAUUUAAAUUCUUUGUGUAGCACGGCACGAUACGACAUAGAUAUGUUCAUCAAAAGCGCGUACACCUUCCUUAAAGGCUGGCAACGCUCCUGUGAUUCCUCUGGCUUGCAAGAGAAUGUGGGCGGCGGUGAUCACCUAACACCAGGUGACCCGUACGCUCGCAUGUCGUUCCUCUUUCAUAAAAAAACAGAGGGAUGAAAAUUAAAAAAGCAUAAAUUUUAAUGCCUCAACUACCCUUACUCAAUUACCCUUACUAGGUAUGUUGUUAAUAUUUUAAAUUUAGGUUGUAUAUAAUACUUAGGAUAUAAAUGAUAUUUAGAUAAAAAGUUACCCCCACUCGCCCCUUGUCAUACAAUGUCACACUUUGUCGAUCCCCUCCUUCCCCUUUAACGUUGUGACGUAAGUUAUUAGUCCUUAGGGCUAUAUGUCACCAGGACACCACGGCGGCGCAACCAGUCACCGCUACCAACAAAAUGUAUGCAGCUCCAUAGAGAGUUGCCCAUCUCGUGUCUGUUUGGUUGCGCAACCAGCUCGGACGCGUCAUGACUGUGGUGUCAGUAUGGUGUCUAGUUUGGUAGCUUACGGACAUCAGUGGCGCAACCAGUCGCCGCUACCAACAAAAUGUAUUCAGCUCUAUAGAGAGUUACUCAUCUGGUGUCUGUUUGGUUGCGCAACCAAUUGGUGACGCGACCCGCUCGGACCUUUCAUGACUGUGGUGUCAGUAUGGUGUCUUGUUUGGUAGCUUACGGACAUCAGUGGUGCAACCAGUCGCUGCUACCAACAAAAUGUAUUCAGCUCUAUAGAGAGUUACUCAUUUGGUGUCCGUUUGGUUGCGCAAACAAUUGGUGGCGCGACGAGCUUGGAUGCGACAUGACUCUAGUGUCAGUAUGGUGUCUAGUUUGGCAGCUUACGGAGACCGUGGUGUCCCGGUGCAAUGAAGCCCUAAGUUCUAAGAACGAGAAUCAAGUACCGAGUAUACUCCUUAUAUAUCAUUCUCCCGCUUUAUAAAGGUUAAAUAAACGUUAUAUCACGGUUUUUUCCGUUGCCGACUCAUAGCUAGGAGCACAGUUUGGUAUACAUAUUUGCUUAACAACACCGUACGCUCCGCUUCCGUACCGAAACCUUACGCUUACUGUACGUAUUGUAUUUGUAAAUCUUAACCGAUAAUAAAUAUUUAUUCACAAUCUG